UUCGUAGGCGGUGUGGCAAGUCGGGAGUGAAAUCUCUGGGCUUAACUCAGAGACUGCUUCCGAAACUGCUGUGCUUGAGUGUGGGAGAGGCGCGUGGAAUUGCAGGUGUAGCGGUGAAAUGCGUAGAUAUCUGCAGGAACACCCGUGGCGAAAGCGGCGCGCUGGACCACUACUGACGCUGAGGAACGAAAGCUAGGGGAGCAAACAGGAUUAGAUACCCUGGUAGUCCUAGCCCUAAACGAUCGGGACUUGGGGUGCCGCACGUUCGUGCGUCGUCCCGGAGCUAACGCGUUAAGUCCCGCGCCUGGGGAGUACGGUCGCAAGACUGAA
rnacentral:rRNA from 1 species